rnacentral:ncRNA from 1 species
AUAUUGGCUGUGAAGGGAAUAAGUAAAAAUGAUGAUUUCUCUAGAGAGUGAAAUUCGAUGGCUGGAAAAUUUCACAGAAUAUAUUUAUUUUGAACCCACCCCAGAGCCUAUGGCGGGAAAAGAAGUCAUACGGUUGGCGAUACCGUUAUCAUCGUAGGAAGAUAAUCUGUAAAUAUUAAAUACUAAAUCAUUUUAAGCAUAAAUUAUAGAUUAAUUAGAGUGGUACCGCGAAUAGCCUUCGUCUCUAAA